GACUAAAAUCUCAGGAAGCUGGUGAUGAAUGAAAACCUUAGUCCCACUGGCACUGAAGAGGGGCCAGGAGAGCAGCAGCAUCAUAAGCCACAGGCGUCAGCCUCGAGUUUGACCAGCAACAGGGUCGGUGUGUCCCUCUGAAUCUGAGAUCUAUGAGGCAGGAGCUGGGGACAGGAUGGCAGGAGCACCCAUGGCUGCUGCUGUACAGCCUGCUGAGGUGACUGUUGAAGUUGGUGAGGACCUCCACAUGCACCACAUUCGUGACCGGGAGAUGCCUGAAGCUUUGGAGUUUAACCUUUCUGCCAAUCCAGAGGCAAGCACAAUAUUCCAGAGGAACUCUCAAACAGAUGCUUUGGAGUUUAACCCUUCUGCCAAUCCAGAGGCAAGCACAAUAUUCCAGAGGAACUCUCAAACAGAUGGUAUCUACUGAGCGUUUCAGUCAACAAUACAGCUCGUGUUCGACAAUAUUCCUUGAUGACAGCACAGCCAGCCAGCAUUAUCUUAUAAUGACAAUAAUAUCAGAUGCAGAUAGAUCUUUGACCAUACUUGAUGAACAGUUAUACUCAUUUGCGUUUUCCACCGUGCACAUUAUGAAGAAAAGAAAUGGAGGUGGGAGUUUAAAU
rnacentral:sRNA from 1 species